rnacentral:rRNA from 1 species
AUUGAACGCUGGCGGCAUGCUUUACACAUGCAAGUCGAACGGUAACAGGUCUUCGGAUGCUGACGAGUGGCGAACGGGUGAGUAAUGUAUCGGAACGUGCCCAGUAGUGGGGGAUAACUACUCGAAAGAGUGGCUAAUACCGCAUGAGAACUGAGGUUGAAAGCGGGGGACCUUCGGGCCUCGCGCUACUGGAGCGGCCGAUAUCAGAUUAGGUAGUUGGUGGGGUAAAGGCCUACCAAGGCUUAGAUGUCUAGGGGGUGUGAGAGCAUGGCCCCCACGACCGGAACUGAGAUACUGUCCGGACACCUACGGGUGGCUGCAGUCGAGAAUCUUCCGCAAUAGACGAAAGUCUGACGGAGCGACGCCGCGUGCGGGAUGAAGGCCCUUGGGUUGUAAACCGCUGUCAGAGGGGAUGAAAUCUCCGAGGGUUAUCCCUCGGAGUUGACAGAGCCUCAGAGGAAGCACGGGCUAAGUAUGUG